rnacentral:rRNA from 1 species
AACACAUGCAAGUCGAACGGUAACAGGUCUUCGGACGCUGACGAGUGGCGAACGGGUGAGUAAUACAUCGGAACGUGCCCAGUCGUGGGGGAUAACUACUCGAAAGAGUAGCUAAUACCGCAUACGAUCUGAGGAUGAAAGCGGGGGACCUUCGGGCCUCGCGCGAUUGGAGCGGCCGAUGGCAGAUUAGGUAGUUGGUGGGAUAAAAGCUUACCAAGCCGACGAUCUGUAGCUGGUCUGAGAGGACGACCAGCCACACUGGGACUGAGACACGGCCCAGACUCCUACGGGAGGCAGCAGUGGGGAAUUUUGGACAAUGGGCGAAAGCCUGAUCCAGCAAUGCCGCGUGCAGGAUGAAGGCCUUCGGGUUGUAAACUGCCUUUGUACGGAACGAAAAAGCUUCUCCUAAUACGAGAGGCCCAUGACGGUACCGUAAGAAUAAGCACCGGCUAACUACGUGCCAGCCGCCGCGGUAAUAC